AGGAUAAACGCUGGCGGUGUGCCUAAUACAUGCAAGUCGUGCGGCAGCACGGGCUUCGGCCUGGUGGCGAGCGGCGGACGGCUGAGUAACGCGUAGGAACGUACCCCAAAGUGAGGGAUAACUGCCCGAAAGGGUAGCUAAUACCGCAUAUGGUCUUCGGAUUAAAGCUUUUAGCGCUUUGGGAACGGCCUGCGUUCGAUUAGUUUGUUGGUGAGGUAAUGGCUUACCAAGACGAUGAUCGAUAGCUGGUCUGAGAGGAUGAUCAGCCAGACUGGGACUGAGACACGGCCCAGACUCCUACGGGAGGCAGCAGUAGGGAAUUUUCCACAAUGGGCGAAAGCCUGAUGGAGCAACACCGCGUGCAGGAUGAAGGCUUUCGGGUCGUAAACUGCUUUUCUAUGUGAGGAUUAUGACAGUAGCAGAGGAAUAAGGAUCGGCUAACUCCGUGCCAGCAGCCGCGGUAA
rnacentral:rRNA from 1 species